rnacentral:rRNA from 1 species
UGCGUAGGCGGCGCUAUUAGUCAGAGGUGAAAUCUUGCGGCUUAACCGUAAAAUUGCCUUUGAAACUGUAGCGCUUGAAUCACGUUGAGGUCAGCGGAAUGUGACAUGUAGCGGUGAAAUGCAUAGAUAUGUCAUAGAACACCAAUUGCGUAGGCAGCUGGCUAGGCGUGUAUUGACGCUGAGGCACGAAAGCGUGGGGAGCGAACAGGAUUAGAUACCCUGGUAGUCC